rnacentral:rRNA from 1 species
UGCAAGUCGUACGCUUCUUUUUCCACCGGAGCUUGCUCCACCGGAAAAAGAGGAGUGGCGAACGGGUGAGUAACACGUGGGUAACCUGCCCAUCAGAAGGGGAUAACACUUGGAAACAGGUGCUAAUACCGUAUAACAAUCGAAACCGCAUGGUUUUGAUUUGAAAGGCGCUUUCGGGUGUCGCUGAUGGAUGGACCCGCGGUGCAUUAGCUAGUUGGUGAGGUAACGGCUCACCAAGGCCACGAUGCAUAGCCGACCUGAGAGGGUGAUCGGCCACAUUGGGACUGAGACACGGCCCAAACUCCUACGGGAGGCAGCAGUAGGGAAUCUUCGGCAAUGGACGAAAGUCUGACCGAGCAACGCCGCGUGAGUGAAGAAGGUUUUCGGAUCGUAAAACUCUGUUGUUAGAGAAGAACAAGGAUGAGAGUAACUGUUCAUCCCUUGACGGUAUCUAACCAGAAAGCCACGGC